GACUUUGCGUGAGCUAGUCGUAAAAUCCCUAGUGAUCCUUCCGAAUUUAUGUGUUUGUUUAUACAUUCCAAGUCGAUAAAAUGGAUGUUUACUAAAAGGUGGACCUGUGUUAUACUUUCUAUGGUGAAAUUGGAUAUGGAAUUCGCCUUGAAGCACGUCCUACCACGCUAUACAGGUUCAGGUCAUCAAAUCUGGCAAACACUCCGUCAAACAGUUCUUCGACACAGUUGUCCAGACUGACAACUCGAUCCCCCUUCCCGGCGGAAACAAGACAAACACGCUCUCGACCGGCCGUAAUCGAAACGGACCCAUCCAGCUCAACCGAAGAAGACGACGAAUCACCGUCACCCUGUGGUGGAUUUCUCGACAAGGCAUCUGCAUUAGAAUUUAUCCUCUCAGCUUUCUGAAGGAUUCUGGAAGCAUAUGCAAUGGGUAAAUCCUGACCAAUACCUCCUUGACUCAAAACACCACCAAGAGCGUAAUUCGAUGCAUCAGUCGUUAAUACAAAAGGUUUUGAGAAAUCUGGAUACUGCAACAAUGGUUCGGAACAGGUUUUAUCACGCAGAAUUUCAAAAGCUAUUUGCUGCUCAUUUGUCCAUUUACAUUCGACCUUAUCCUUUAAAAGAAAACUAGUAGGCACAUGCUCUGGAGCAACGCAAAAUUUAUAGUAACCCUCUCGUAGAUAAACUUCAAUGCAAAUCCAGCCUUCGCCAUCAUCAUAGAUACGACAUAGUUGUAAAGUUUCAAAGUCCGGAUCCGAAAGGAGGUAAACCAAUGUCAUCAACAAGGGAUUUGGAUCAGUCAUUUUCAAAUAUAGUUUCUUACUAAUAAUCUUUUAAGUGACAGAAAUGAGUCAUCCCAACUUUUGCAUUCUGUCACACAUCACACUGCAGGGCUUCGAUGCACGGUGUGCCCACUCCUAUAGAAAAGUGGUGGACGGAUUAUAGUAAUUACUACGUCCCCUAGGUGGCACUCGUGUGAAUUC